rnacentral:lncRNA from 1 species
GUCCAUGGGAUGGUGUUUAAACAAAUUUAUUUUAAAUUUCAGAGGACAGAUUACAUUAGUUGACAUCAGCAUUACACUCACCUGGUCAUUCUGUCUCUUUAAAACAGUACUGUGAAGUUGAUUGGAAAUUUCAUCUUCUCCCUAUUUGAGACUCAUUUGAUAUUAUUUGCUGCUUCACCACUCAGUGUUAGUGUCCCUGAGGCCUGCCUUGCACUACUUUCUCUAUCUAAAAUAUUCACAUGCCUGUAACUGAAUUCAAGGAAAACAAAGCCUGGGGCUAGAAGGAAGUGUAGGAAUCCAAGGAGAAAUAUCCGUGGUAGAUUUCAAUUAAGAAGCUCUGGCAUUAAGCAAAAUAGGUGAAGAAGCUUUACACGUCGUUUCCCUUUUGAGUCGCUCAGCCAAAUUCAUCAGUGUAAAGGAAGAGUUAAAGAAGUACUCAAACCCAAGAGCCCUUUAAAGAAACAACAUAGGAGUCAGUGAGUGAGUGGGGGAAGCAGCCAAGAUGGACAAACAAGAACAGCUCUGGUCUACAGCUCCCAGCAUGAGCGACGCAGAAGACAGGUGAUUCCUGCAUUUCCAUCUGAGGAAGGACCUCAGGAAACCUGCCCAGCAAUCAUAAAUGCUGCUUUCAUCCUGCAAGUGAUCUUACUUUGCAUGCCACUGAGCCACAGGUUCAUGAGCAAGAGAGUAGAAGGGCUCAGGACUUUCAGUUUAUACAGACUUCGUCCUGUGUGGCUGUGGACUACAAAUAUGCCCCUCUAGCAGCUUUCACCUAACUGGGCUCAGGGCAGAGCCUUUUCUCAUAGUCCAGAACUGACUACUCUGGCUUGUCUGCCUCUGUUGCUGGGAUGCUGUUACUCUGUGUAGGAAGCAGGAAUUGAGCACUAUCCUUCAUGCAAGAACUAGCUGCACAAACUCACUUUCAACUGGGAUAGAACUGCCACAGGAAGGGCUGGAAUGGCUUUCUCCAAGUGCAUACAUCCACCCCCAGUGAGAAGAGUCUCUGCUGUGUUUGCAACAGUGAACAAGGAAAGCAUGGAGAUGACCCCGUCUCCUUGCCCUUCUGUGUCAACAAUUCAUAAAACAUUAUGAUAAUCAUAUGAGGAGGAGGAAACUAAAAACUAAACAAAUGAACCUUUGUUAUCAUCUGCUUCAAAGAUACUACCAAAAAAUUACUAAGAAAGAUGAAUGAAUUCAGUAAAUAACUUCACAAGUUUGUAUUUAGUGGUUUGCAAUACUUAUCACUGCUUCUCAAUCACCUUAAAGAUAUCUCUGUGACAGUUGAAAAAUAUACACCUGAACUAGUUAAUACUUUUAAAUGUUCUGCCUUAAUUCAUUAUCUUCAUACCAGAUAUAUGUUAUAUAUAAUAUAUUAUUGAAUUUAAUUUUAUUGAGAUUAUUUUUACUACAUUUUGUUAUUUGCUGUCUCUUCAGUGGCUUCCUUUACCCUCUAUCCAGAUUAAAGACAAUCAUAGUAUUUUAUCUCUAGGGCAAGAAUUUACGUAAUUUAAAUAAAGUAAUUUUUAAAUUUUUCUCACACCAAUGAUUCUGUGUUUAAGUAUUGUGUUAUGCGCUGUUAAUUUUCAUCUUUUCUUUAUAAUGUGUUUUAAUCUAUUUUCAAUGUAAGCUUGAAAGCACCAAAAAAUAUUGAUGUUUCAUGUCUUCCAGGACAUUCCUACAUUGAUUGUCAAGGUGUUGAAAUUUCCACCAUGUAGUUUUUUCUCCACACUCACAGAGAGGCUCACGGUAAACCUCCUAAAGCAUCUUAUUAAAAGAGAAACGCUACAGCCAUAGUCACAGAUGAGCUCUGGUGACUAAAAUCCCACCUACCACUACUUGACUGUUGCGGUCCCUGAAGCCUACAAAAUCGCAGAAUGAUUGCUGGUUCUCAAACCUCUAGGUUACUUUAUGAUUGGGAAUUUUACAUAUAUCCAUUGCCUGAAAUGCCCUUAGCAUCUAUUACCCUUUGAGACUUAGCUUCAAUAUCAAGUAAUGAAGCCUUUCUUAAGUACCUAGAGAAAAUCAGUUUUCCGGUCUUUCAUGCUACCUUUGUACACACAGCUUUCUGUUGUUACCUUUUCAAAUCAAUCAUUUCACCAUUAUUUCUCUAUGCAUUCAUUCAUUAUUUCAACAAAUAUUUAUCGGGUGUUUAAUAUGUUUAUAGCCAUGUGCUAAGCACUGAGGUUAUACUUUGUCGUGACUCCAUGGUUAAACUCCACAGGGACAAGAUCCACACAAAUAUUCUGUGUGAAGGACACAUAAAUAGUUUGGGGGUACAUCAUGCCUAUGACUGAUAUGAAGAAGGUGUAAACAAAUGUAUAUUGAAUUAAAGAAUACCUUAAAUAUUUGUUUGUAAGAGAUAUAGUUUUAGGAUUUGUUACAAUAGUUAGAAAAGGGUUUCAUGAAUAUGGAAUGAAAGCUUAGACUGCAACUGUUUUACAAAGCGCUUUUAAAAGUAACUACUAAAAUAAUCUAGUAACACUUUUAGAGUCAUUUAGAAAAGAAUAAAAUAAUCUUAGCCUAGCUAACAGGAUGUUCCAAUAAAACUAUUGUGAAGUGGUAGGACUCUUGAUUAUGGUGAGAAUGGGUCAGAAUGGAUGAAUCAACACAUUUGUGUAAAGAAUAAUAUCUAGAAAUGAUGACAAUGUAUAUUUGAAAGAAAAGAGUAUUAAAAAUGUCUUUAAAUUUUCCAAUUUGUUGUACUCAUAGGAAAAUAGGAGGUGAAAAUGAAAUACUUAGAGAUGGUGUCUUAAUUUAUUUCAAGAAUUUGAGGUAAAAAGGAACUGCUCUGCCCUGUUAAUAUGUGAGAUGAGCAAUUUAGGAGGGAGGUCAGACUGGAAAAGUGAAUUUACUGAACACCAUGAUAGUCAUGUUGUUUAAUGACUUAAGAAUAGACAGUAAAAGAGGUUCUCCUAUCAUAGCCCUACAUCCUCUGGAAAUACAUGCUACAUUAAAAUUUAUAUUUCUAUUUCCAUAUGCUUGGUAUGACUAAUGGCAGAAACUGUGAAGAAUCCUAGGAGAAAAAUGGUCUGCAUUUGCUUCAGACUUAUUGCAAAGUGUAUGUAUGAAGGAAAACAUUACUUCUAAUUCUACCAGACCAUCACCUGCAUGAGUCCCUGUGAUGCUUCCCAAAUCCAUCCAAAUGCUUAACUGAAGCUUGAAUUUAUUAUUUUCAAGUUCGAUGUAAAAGUUCUUCUUUUUAAACUUGACACUGUAUACUGUGGCUUAAAUAUUUAAGCAAGGCUCUUUCGAAGAUUGAGGAAGAAACACUCACACAUCAAAAGUAUCUAAUGUUUAAUUCAGCGAGGUAAGCUUUCUCAAACUCUGAAGCUUAUGUGAAGCUGUUUGGAAUUUUUUCAAAGGUCUUUUAUCUCUAAAUCAAAACAGAAUUUUUUUUAAAAAAAUUAUAAUAAUUCUUCAAAACAGAAAUAACUUCUGUCAGAGUUCUUUGGUUUCUACCUAAAAGAAACAGUUACGUGGCAAUUGUUUAUUUAUUUCUACAUGAACCCAACAUGUUCAAAUUCUAAAAGAUUUAGACAAGCUUGCUUCAGUCAUACAUAAAGAUUUUGAAAACUUAUUAUUCAAGCCAACUAAGAUUCUUGCUAGAAAACUCAAACAAAGAACAAUAAUUGGUUUGAAAACUGCAGAAUAUACUUUGUAGAUUAUGACUCUUCAUUGAUAAACAGAUAAGUAAACACCCACAAAUCAAUAUGUAAACAAUAGAACUGGCUAUUAAGUUUUUGCUAAAAGAUCUUCCUUGAGAGAGUUUAUAGAAUUUGCUAAUUUUUUCUUUUUUGUCUUAUUUAAUGUUAGUUAUCAAAGCCAAGUCUUCCCAGACCCUUACUAAUUAAUCUCAACAAUUUGUUUUUGAAAUUUUGAAAACAUAGAAAUAUUAGGAGAAUCUCCACUGGAGUGAUUCAAGAGAGUUCUAAAACAUGGAGACUGACAAAAACAUUCAGAUAGAAAUCUGCAGUUAAUAGUAAUAAAAUGACGGCAGUCACUGUGAUGAUAUGAUAAUUGUGAUGAUUAGGCUGCUGGUUUGGAAUCCUGGAUAAAUCUCUUAAACUAGCUUUAUGGCUUUUAGCAAGUUAUGUAACCUUUGAAAUAUUCACCUGGUUUUUAAAACCACAUUCUGUGGAUGUAAGAUCUAAAUAAGAUAACCCAUAUAAAUAAUGUAGUAUGUCUCGCACAUACUAAGCGCAUGCUAAGACUUUCCCCAUGCUUUCUUUUUUUUGGCUUCUUUUAUUAUUAUUAUUAUUAUUAUACUUUAAAUUCUAGGGUACACUUGCACAACAUCCAUGUUUUAAGUCUCCACCCACUUGUCCUUGAAAAUUCUAAUCUCUUUUGUUUACCAAGGCCAGUGAUAAUGAAGUCUUAUGAUAAAACCUGUUCCUAUAACAUUCCUUCUAGUCAUUACACAUUUUAAUCUCUCGUUUAUUAAGUUAGGUGCCUGUAAUAAUAACAUUUUCUAGAAUAUUUUUUACUGCUUUUAGCAUGGCUAACUUUUUUCACCUUUCCUUCAGUAAAUGCUGCCUCAUUUUAAGGUUUAUUCUGAACACCCA